AGGCGUUUAUUUUUCUUUCUUAUGAUCAAUGUUCUUAAUGCACAUUGAUACAUCUUGACAGAUUCCCGAAGGAGAGCUACUCGGUAAACAUCCGCACGUGCUGGAAACACUUCCGAAGUCCCAGCUGACAGCUCCCGUGCUCUGGGAAGGCAGCCCUGCCUUCCGGAUGCAUCCUUUCAAAGCGGUGUCGCUGGGCGGAGUGAGUGCCAAGCCCCACCGAGAAGGCUGCGAGGAUGCCGAGCUGGAGUGGGAGCUGAGGAGCGCGGCGGUGCCGGCGGUGCCAGCUCACACGCAGCUGGACCCCGUCUUUUCUCUAGAGUGCGUGGGUUCCAGGUCUGGCACUGAAGAAACAGCUUCUCAUGCGCUGAAUGGAAAUGAAAUCGCCAGUUUACAGAAAGCACCUCUACUUACCACAGUGUCUAAUGAUGUUGUCUACAUGGGAGCAAGACCUCGAGACUCCUAUCUCCUCUAAGCCUCUACAGGUCCCUAAGAUGAGUUGAAACAUAGACUGAAGUUCAGCAGCGUCUUCCCCAGUUUAAAAACCCACUACACACAACAGGGAAGAAGGCAACCUACUAGGACACACCAUCUCAGAGAAACAGGGAUAGUAAGCCUUACUGCUCUGUCUCCAUGGAAUAAAUGCCCAUGUAGCUUUCAGUAUGGGUCACUAACAGGUAGUUUUCUGUUUGGCUGACAGCUGGAAGCAGAAAAUCUACCCAAAACUGCAACAGUACAACAGACCUCCUAAAAAGUCCUUUGGCAGCCUCGGCUGAGGAACUUUCAAGUGUUUAGCUGAGCUUUUCAUGGCAAGCACAUGGGCAUCAGGUAUAAGGGAAAGUGUAGUAUAUCCUCAUCAACCUUUAAAACUGAUUUAAUAGCAUCUUACCAAUUAUGCAAUUACACAUUUUUCCAUAAACACUGGAACUGUGUACCAAAGCAGGCUACAAAGUUAACAAAAGACUUGGCCCAACUUGGCACUGGACUUCCCAGCUAUGAUUUGUCAGACGCCUCUUAGCAGAAUGGAUCACGUCUUCCUGAUGCCCAGGGUCCUUUCAUGACAUGAAUUAAGAAGAGCCCAGGACUGCAGCACAGACAAGUCACAUCCAGUUCUUCCAGGCCCAAUCUUCAUCCCUCCUGUAAAUUUAACAGCGACUAUUUUGUUUGCUUACAUUUGCAUACACCUGGCUUUAUGCUUUUGUUUGCUUGAGGAUUGUUAUGUGAAGGUGCUAACUGAUCAUCUCUACCAACUGGUAGUGCUCAUGGAUCUGAUGGAACUGGUUGGACUGCGGACUGCUUAGGGAAGGACAUCACAAUGUUGCGUACAAUAUGCUUUUGGGACCAAGAUCUUAGAAAUUUUGUAAUCUUUAUUGUGGCAAUCUUAAAAGAUGAAAAACACUGAGUUAUGUCUAAACAUCCUGAUCACAGACACCAUGACAAAAAUAGAUCACAACUGCAGAAAGUUUGAAAAGUUUUGCAGAAAAGCCUGUAGAAUCCUAGGAGACAAGAGGGCUAUCUUGUCUCAAACACCGAUAGCCAGACAGCUGUGGAGCAAGCCAUGGAUCGUUGAUGAUAACAGCCAGGAAUUGUUGGUAAUAACACACUGAGAAAGCAAAGGAUGUGGCUGGAGAAGAGGCUGUAAGGCAGGACAGCACAUUUCUGGGACAAAUGUCCUUGUUCUGGCUCCUGGAGAUGAGCACAACACAGCACAGCACAAGGGCAGGGAUGAGGCUGCGAAGAGGGCAUGGACUGUAAGAGGGGAUCAACACCAUCAGAGAUGCCCAAAGCCUUCCGACCCAUUUCCAGAAAGUUCUAGAGGAAUGAACUGCACAGGAUUGCUAAUUUGCAUAGAAAGUGAGAAACUUAUCUUCAAGAUGGGUAGACUUAUAAAAGGUAUUCCAAGCAAGCCCACAUGUGUCGCCAUUCCCAGGAUACCCCUGCUGGAUCAGUGCUGGAGCUAGGACUGGUGAUCUCUCUUUCCCUCUCUCCUUCUUUCUCUCCCCCUCUUUAAUUUAUUUCUGUCUUUCUCUCUCCCAUUUCACCCUACCCCGCUGUUCAAAACCCACUGCCAUGUCUUCACAGAGGAGAUCAGGUCCUAACUUAUACCAAUUUCCAUGCCAAGUAUGUAAUUUACUAAUAGAACUUUGUGAGUUUUUGUGGACCCUCUGACUUUUGUCAUUUCUUUUGACCACGAGCACCUGCAAAUCUUGUCUACUGCCUUCCCCUCAAGGAUGGGAUACCACAACUUUAACGCAUGGAAGUGGAAAAGGGAAAAUAAAACAAUAUUGCAUCUAGAUACACAAUAAAAUAAAAUAAAAUAACCCAACAGAAUCUCUUUAACAGCAAUUUAUUAUCAUUAAAAGUAACAACAAGUAAUUUUAAAUUUUUUUGUCUUAAAAAUCUAGUGUAACAUACUGCUACAGUUCUAUGAAACUUACGGCAAAAUUGUAUCCCCAAACCACACAUUGUGCCUGAUUGUCACAGACAUCAAUGGUGUGGCAGACAAACAGCACAGAAAUGGAUCGCUCUAUACAGCGAUGAUCAUUAGGCCUCAAGAUGCUACAAGUUAUUUUUUAAGAGCUAUUAAAUAUAAUUUUUGUUUUCCUCUUUUUUUCAUAUUGCUAGAACAAUCAAAUAUUUCACAUAGUUUUUGGUGCCCAUGUGAUCUUUUAAGAACUGUGUUUUAGCCCCCUACAUCUUCCUGCCAUAGUUUUCCUUUUUAAAAUUUUCCCCCCUUAGUGACACACCCACCCCACCUCAGGAGACAAAACCACAGCCAUGUUUGCAGUCACUGCACACAGCAUCACAUAUUUCCUUUACAUCCUAAAGCCACUGUUCAGCCCUAACCCUUACCUUUCACAUUGCUGCCAGAACAACUCGGCAGCACAAAGUUCAGGAAUACUACAUGUUCAUAUUUUAAUCUCCAGCUUCCUGGGAGCUCUAGAGCUUAGGUUAAGCUCAAGCUAAGUACCCAAGAUAGCUAAUUCAUAGCUAUUUCAGAUUUGUGGAAAGGAGCAGCAGCCAGACGUUGCAGGACAGAGGCAGCUUCACAUUACACAAAAAGACCUGAACAAGUCGUAAUACUGUUUAUCAUUUGUUUGCAGGACCAAAAAAGAAUAUCCACAAGCAAACACACAUAUCGCUGAAAAAAACAGUCCUUAUUCUGUCAAGCAUUUAAUGUGCUGAAUUUAAGAUUACAAUGCUGUUCAACACUCAAAAGUAAGCAAAAGCCUCUGAGUGAAACCCUUCUGGCCAUCAGAUAUGUACUGAAGAAAAAGAGCAUGGGGAAACUUCAUAUAGUCUUUCAGAUGUGGUUUGUGUAUGACUUCAGAUACACAGGAUCCCCUUGGAUGGGAUAGGGAAUUUCCACAUGAACUUCACAGUAGCAUGUGGAAUUGAGAAAUUCAAAGAAAACCAAACAGUAAGCAGCUUCAUGUGCAUUUAUAUCCAUUCUGAAUUUAGAGAGUCAUGGGAAAAUCAUAAUCAUAAAAGCAUAAAAGUAUGGAUGAGGUACUAGAUCAACAAAUCCAUGAAAAAACCCUGAUUACACUGUUCCCUAAACAGACCUACAAUUUAAACUCCAGGAGAAAAUAGGGUGUUAAAUUUACUCAAUGAAAAAAAAAUUUUUUGGGUUUGUUUUCAGCCAGAUUUCUUAGGAAAGAAAAUCCCCAAACCAAAAACAAUACUUAGAGCAAAACUGUGAAAUCCUGUCUUACAUAACAUCUUAAACUACUGUCUUGCUUUGUAAAUGCACCUAACAGUUUAUGAAUAUCUCAUUCUUACUCAAUAAUACCUUAAAGAGUUUUGACUGAGGUAGCCACUAAAACAUCACCAUACAUAAGCAAUGCCAACACACAGGGAAAAGCUCAACCAAGACGCUCAAGAAAGUUAGUUAGCAUUUGCUUCCAAAAAUGUAAUUUUCUCUCUAGUGCUCUUCCUCCAAACCUUGCUUCACUUCCCUUUUCUUUUCUUGCCUAUCUCUAAUAGACAGCAACAAAGAAAAGUUUAGCUUUCCAGUUAAUUUGUAAAAUGUCCUUGGAUUUCCAAAACUUAAUUUUCAAAUGAAGAAUCAGUGAAUUUAGUUUUACACCAAUGCCAUUUAGAGCACUGACACUGAAGGAAAAUCUGCACCCUCAAUAACUGACCCCUGAGGUUUCAGCUCUAUCAUCUUCCUGCACAUGCCUAAGUGCUAGAAGCUGUGGAAAGACACCUGCAAGGGGAAAACACAAAAGCAGUGAAAAGGUCCCUUUCAUUGUAAGUCUCAUCUAUACACGUAAACACACAAAGAAU